CAUUUCACCUGUGUGGUUGUAUGCCAGUUCCAUGGCCAUGUGGAUGGCAUAAGCUUCUGCUGAAAAUAUCGACGUCCCUUCUGCCAGACUGCCCGUUUCUUCGAUGUUCAGCGUGGGAAGGAUUGCCGCAUAGGGUCGAUUGCUGAUGUACUGGCAUUUCCACGCAGUGCCUGGCUGUAGGUUAGGUUGCUUGAUUGAUGUGAGUGGAACUUGGGGCAGCUUGACGAACUUGCUGGGUGAUUACCUUCGCAGUUUAUGCAACGAGCUGGCACUGUACAGUUAGGCAUAUUCUCGUGUUUACCACCGCAAUUGUUGCAUCUUACUUCGUCUCAACA